CAACUCCCCGCCCGUGUGGGCCCGUGCAGUUGUACCGCCUGCACACGCGGCAGGAGACGUGGCCACUGGUGGUGUGCCGCGUGCUCGUAGUUUUAGUGGACUGUAUCGUCCUUGCCCGCACAGGAAAUCAAAGUGGAGCCUGGGACGCGUCACGCAGCCGCCCCUACCUGCUGCCGGUGUGCGGACACGCGUCUCGUGUGGAGCAUGCCUGCAGGACAAAGGCACGCGCACGCGCGGGCUGCGAGUUUGUGUGCCCGACCUGCAAGGUCCCCGGCCUCCUACCUGCAGCCCGACGAAGCGCUUGGAAAUUUCCUACCCACGCUGAAGGAAAUGCUGGAGGAGCGAUUUGGUGGGAAGCCUCGGCCGCUCUACCCCGAGCGGUCGCUCGCGCAGGGCGGCCGCGGCGCUGGCGUCUGGCACCGAUCUUGUCGAGGGCUCUGUACAGCACAAACCACUGCACCUGGGCCACGGCCCGAAUCCAAAGCCUCCGUUCUGACGGUCAGAUUCAGGUCUGUUCCCGUAGUCGAGUUCACGUUUAAAUUUAUGCUGGGCAAUGAGUUGAUUGAAACCUAGAGAUGUAAAAUAGCAGACAGGUCACUUCUGUCACCAGGCCGUUUAGCUGCGUUCCAACCAAGGCUUUUUCUAUUUCCACACCUCCGAUUAGCACAGUUGGCUAUGUACGGUGCGAAAGAAGUUCAACAUAAAUAUUCAUAAGUUUGUUUACCCCAAAAAGACCUCAAGCUUUCACGACCAUUAUCCAUAAUCGAGGUUUUUGGGUUAGACGACGUAAAUAUGAAUGUGUCGUUCAACCCGCCACCGCCAACACAGCCAAUUACUGUAGUGAGGUUUGUCACGUAAUCAAAACGUGCUAAUUCGUUACUAGUUCAGCACACUGGUGUGUUCGAGAGUAAACCCCCAACAUUUACAAUUCAAUACUCUUUGGUUCUUUUGGUAAAGUCACGUAGGUAUAAAAUAAAAUUUACAAUUCGAGUACGACGUUUUGUCAGUAAUUCCAACUCACAUCAACAGGCGAUAGCCAGGGUUGUUAAGAGCGAAG